UUUCGUUCUUUAAAAGAAAAAAAAUUUCAUUUUUUUAUAUUGGUUUUUAUAUUGGUGAGGCAAACCCUAAUUGGGGCUCUAAAUAUGGAAGAGAAUGUGAAGCUGUUGUUUAUUCAUCUGUAUUUGGCAAAAGUAAGAGAACAGAAAGAGAUUAUAUGCUCAACCUUAAGAACUCAGACACUACAUUCAUUAUGCAAAACAGACAAUUCAGCCUGAUGUGACUGACAAGGCAUCCUAAGAGAUUGCAUCAGCAUCUGCAGACCUCAGAGCUUCCAGUUCAAAUGCGAAGACUGGAGGAACACUUAAUCUAAGAAACCAUCAUACGCCUCUCAACUGCUCAUGCUAACUUGAAACUGAGAAGAGAGGUUUCAAAAUCUGAUGUUAAGGCUGCUAUGAAAGUUCUAAACUUUGCAAUAUAUAUAUAUAUAUAUAUAUGAAGACCUUACUGAGAUAAAGAAGCACAAGCAAGAAAGAACGAAAGAGAGCAAUUGCAGAACAGAAGUCAUCCAAGUGAAAAUCGUAGAUCUGAAAGUGGUACAGCUAGUAUAGAAGACCACUGCCAUGCAAAUAGAUGAUCUUGCUGUCCAAUCUGCUUCUGCUAUUUCUUCAGAAAGAAUUAAAGCAUUUAAAUAUUUAUUUGGUCUGCAUAUGCAUUUGAAUCGCUUGGAAUGGAUUUUCUAUUGAGGAUAUAGAGAAGGAUGUCAACUCUAGAGUAUAUGUCUGCUUCUCAAGAGCAGAGAUAACAAGCCUAUUGGAGAUGAUGCAACGUGAUAACAUAGUUAUGGUAAAUAAUGAAAAGAUGCAUAUGAUUACCUGUAUGAAUGCCCAUCUGCAAUGGCUAAAUCUGGUAGAUGUAUCUAAGUUGUAUAAACUUUUCAUUGUGAUCCAGACAUGGCUUAGAUGCAUUUGUUGCUAAACUGAACUCUUUGAGGAAAACUGUUGCAUACCACAUUUUUGCAUC